rnacentral:misc_RNA from 1 species
UUGUGGAGGAGGACGCCGAAGGUGGGGCUAAUGACUGGGGUGAAGUCGUAACAAGGUAGCCGUACCGGAAGGUGCGGCUGGAUCACCUCCUAACAGGGAGACAACAAAAUGUUUAAUAUUAUUAUUUUGUCACCUUAGGUCGAUCGGUAUCUCACGUUCUUAAUUUAUUAAGAAUUUCAUUUCCUAAGUUUUUCUAGGUCACACCCAUUAUUUUCCUGGGCCAUUAGCUCAGGUGGUUAGAGCGCACCCCUGAUAAGGGUGAGGUCCCUGGUUCAAGUCCAGGAUGGCCCAUAUCUCUAUGUUGGGGGUAUAGCUCAGUUGGUAGAGCGCCUGCUUUGCAAGCAGGAUGUCAGCGGUUCGAGUCCGCUUACCUCCACUGAUCACCACCUCUUCCAUAAUCGAUAGAAAGGAAAUGUUUUGAGUUGUGAUCUAAUUCUGAACGAAUCUAGCUUCCUAAUGAAAUUAUUAAGAUGCUGGACUCAUUGAAUUAAUUUCAUUGUUUUCAGAGAACCUUGACAACUGCAUAGAUUAUUUUUUAAAGACAAUAAGCAUCUUUAAUGAUGCAGAUUUAUUAUUUGUGCGAAUGCAUUAAUAACAAUUCUAUUAAGCUGAUGCUUCAAUUUUGAAGUUAUUGGUCAAGCUACAA